UUUCCCAUAACUUAUUUUAACAAAUUAAAUAACAAUACUUUAAGAAUAUAAAUAAAAAGAAAAGUUCAAAUACAGAAGAGUUAAUUUACACAAAUGAAUUGCAUAAAUAAACCGAUAACGUCUGCUUGAUAGGACACUCCACGUCGCUACAUAUUUUGUCUUCUUGUCCAUGUAACUCGUCCUGAUCAUUCACGGAUAAAAACAACAAAUGUGUGUUGUUUUUAGCAAGAACUUUGUGUGGGAAAAUAGCGGCGUGUUUGUCUCUUAUAAGUUUCAGGUUUUUCAUUUCUAUUUCUGCUGCCUGUUAAAGAAAUUUGUAAGAAUGAAAACUAUGUAGUUAGAGGUUAGCAAUGAUGAGUUGAUCAUGUUAAAAUCUGAGGUUAACAUUGUCAGAUCAAAGUUAGUAACAAGUUAGUAACAUCCCAAGAUACAGUUAUA